AGUGAACGCUGGCGGUAGGCCUAACACAUGCAAGUCGAACGGCAGCACAGUAAGAGCUUGCUCUUACGGGUGGCGAGUGGCGGACGGGUGAGGAAUACAUCGGAAUCUACUUUUUCGUGGGGGAUAACGUAGGGAAACUUACGCUAAUACCGCAUACGACCUACGGGUGAAAGCAGGGGAUCUUCGGACCUUGCGCGAUUGAAUGAGCCGAUGUCGGAUUAGCUAGUUGGCGGGGUAAAGGCCCACCAAGGCGACGAUCCGUAGCUGGCCUGAGAGGAUGAUCAGCCACACUGGAACUGAGACACGGUCCAGACUCCUACGGGAGGCAGCAGUGGGGAAUAUUGGACAAUGGGCGCAAGCCUGAUCCAGCCAUACCGCGUGGGUGAAGAAGGCCUUCGGGUUGUAAAGCCCUUUUGUUGGGAAAGAAAAGCAGCAGGUUAAAACCCCGCUGUUCUGACGGUACCCAAAGAUUAAGCACCGGCUAACUUCGUG
rnacentral:rRNA from 1 species